GGUUUUGUAGUUUAAAAUAAAACGUUAAGUUGCAAACUUAAAUAUAUAAUUAAUUAUUAAAACUU
rnacentral:tRNA from 1 species